CCGGCUCCGGGGGCGGCAGCGGCGCGGCCCGAGCGAAGCGGCCAUGGGGCCAAGUUGGGCGCCGGGCGGAAGCGGAGGCCGCUGCGGACCCCGCACUCCCGCAGCCGGCGACUGGAACCCACCUCUGCAGAGACAAAGAUACCCGUGGAUUCAGCCAACACCUGGAAGCAGAAGACACAGGCUUGGAUGAGAAACAGCAACACCUUCUACAGUGAAGAAUAAUAAAACAAUAUUUUUAAUUAUACAAGAAAAUGGGGCAAGUUGUUGGACCCUCCCAAGCUAGAACACUUUACACUGGUCUAUACAUGUUGAACCAGAGAUUGUUCGAUCCUAAAAUUUUCUGAGAAAUAAUCUCAAUUUUCAAUUUUCCUGUCCCCUUCUACCCAAAUAAAAGCGGAGCUUUGUGACCCUCCUUUUCAGCUUGGGGAAGGACAGCUGGGAAAAGACUCUUUGCACUGAAAAGGCAGCCAUAUUUGCACUUUUUUCCCCUGUACAGAGAAACCCUCGGGUAUUUACAGAUUUGAGCCAAUUAGAAGUGCAUCUUCCGAGCUCGUCACUGCAAGUCUAUCUGCGUGAAACACCAUGAUGGGGGGUUUCUAGCCGCUGUAAGAAAGAAGGUGGCAAGUGGGUGUGUGAUGUGUAAUUCCCCUAGCUCUUUAUUUGCAGACAAAUCCAUGCUUUUCCUAACUACAAAAGGAAAUAUAUAUACCUACAUUUAUUACCAACACUUUCUGCACGUGUGAUCUAUGUAUACGCACAAAUACACCAAAUAUGCAAAAACCCCACCAAAUUUGUGUAUGUUCAAAUACAUC